rnacentral:rRNA from 1 species
UACGUAGGGUGCGAGCGUUAAUCGGAAUUACUGGGCGUAAAGCGUGCGCAGGCGGUUCGACAAGUCCGAUGUGAAAGCCCCGGGCUCAACCUGGGAAUGGCAUUGGAAACUGGCGAGCUAGAGUGUGGCAGAGGGGGGUGGAAUUCCGCGUGUAGCAGUGAAAUGCGUAGAGAUGCGGAGGAACACCGAUGGCGAAGGCAGCCCCCUGGGCUGACACUGACGCUCAGGCACGAAAGCGUGGGGAGCAAACAGG